rnacentral:misc_RNA from 1 species
UACGUAGGUGGCUAGCGUUGCUCGGAAUUACUGGGCGUAAAGGGCGCGUAGGCGGACAGUUUAGUCAGGGGUGAAAUCCCAGGGCUCAACCCUGGAACUGCCUUUGAUACUGGCUGUCUUGAGUACGGGAGAGGUGUGUGGAACUCCGAGUGUAGAGGUGAAAUUCGUAGAUAUUCGGAAGAACACCAGUGGCGAAGGCGACACACUGGCCCGUUACUGACGCUGAGGCGCGAAAGCGUGGGGAGCAAACAGG